AUACGAAGGUCCCAAGCGUUAUUCGGAAUCACUGGGCGUAAAGAGUACGUAGGCGGUUUGGUAAGUCAGGUGUGAAAUCCCGAAGCUCAACUUCGGAACUGCAUCCGAUACUGCCAGACUAGAGUAAUGGAGAGGCAGGUGGAAUUCUCGGUGUAGCAGUGAAAUGCGUGGAUAUCGAGAGGAAGACCAAUGGCGAAGGCAGCCUGCUGGACAUUUACUGACGCUGAGGUGCGAAAGCGUGGGGAGCGAACAGGAUUAGAAACCCCGGUAGUCC
rnacentral:rRNA from 1 species